rnacentral:rRNA from 1 species
GACGAACGCUGGCGGCGUGCUUAACACAUGCAAGUCGAACGGAAAGGCCCUGCGUUUGUUGGUUUCUCGAUUGGCGAACGGGUGAGUAACACGUGAGUAACCUGCCCUUGACUUUGUGAUAACUUCAGGAAACUGGGGCGAAUACCGGGUAUGAGCUCCUGCUCCAUGGUGGUGGUUGGAAAGUUUCGGCGGUUGGGGCUGUACUCGCGGCUUAUCAGCUUGUUGGGGGGGUAGUGGAUGACCACGGCUUUGACGGGUAGCCGGCCUGGGCGGGUGAACAGCCACAUUGGGACUGCGAUACGGCGCAGAAUCGUACGGGCGGCAGUAGGGGGAAAUAUUGCACAAUGGGGCGGAGCCUGAUGAAGCAACGCUGCGUGCGGGAUGCCGGCCUACGGGUUGUAAACAGCUUUGGCAUGUGCCGAAGCCUGCGUGACGGUAAUGGGUAAAGAAGCACCGGCUAACUACGUG